AAUAUUGACUUAAACUGAUGCUAGGAAAAGUGUCAUCCAGUGACAUGUCUCUAUGUUUACAAUCUGUUUGUCUCCUCAUAGUGAGAGUGAGAUAAAUAUUGUUUGGCAUCAACACCGUCGUCAUUCCUAUUUUUCAGUGAUAUACUAAUGUUUUAAUAAUAAUUAUUAUACAUAAUUAUAUUAUUCCUAACAAUAAUAAUAGCCACCUCAAAUAUGGAAUUAGAAGAACAGAAUUCCGAUACUGUUCCUUCGCCACCACCACCAUCUGUACCACCACCUGAUCUACCUUUGAUUUUGCCACCCCCAUUGCCUGCGAGGCCCGGAAGAAAGUCAACAGUUGUCCCAGAACAGUUUAAUAUAGAAUCUGAAUUAGACAAUGAUGAUGAGAUUUCCCAACAAAUGACAGCAUCUUACAGUGAGAUAUCAUUUAAAUCGGAAUUGAGUCCAGAGUAUGAAUUGCAGUCUUUGUCAUUAAACCAAACAACCUUCGAUCCUAAUCCAAUUCCCAUACCUUCAGCUGAUAACUUAAGACAAAGACCUGACACAUUAUCCUGUGACCGAAAUAUUACUUCAAAGGCUUUAGGUCCUUUAAAUUUGGAUGGAACUGUGCAUGUGGAAGGUAACAUGACUCAUUUUGUAGCUGAGGAUUUGGAAUAUAAAAUCAAACUAUCAAGUCCAGUAACAAGAAAAGGAGACACACCACCAUUAGGAAGUAAUAAUUCAAGAACUUGCACUCCAAGUUCCCUCUAUAGACAGUUGUUAGUACCCCAGGUAUCACAGUUUGAUACUGCCCUAAUCAAUGACUUGGAAUGUGAAGCUCAACGAAUGGCCACUUCUAUUGACAACCUAAUUGAGAAUUUAAGUGGAAUAUUACAUUCUAUAUCUUCAAUCACAGCUGAUAAUGUGGAUGUAUAUAAGAAUGCUGUUUCAAAAAUGUCUGAUUCAAUGGAUCUGAACAUAAAGGUAUAUAUGUAGUAUAGUAUGUAUACAAUGAUGGCUAAAGCUGAAGAAGUAACUCAAUCCAUGAAAAUUGUGGAAGGUCAUGCUGUUAGAAUAAAAGAAAUAAAAAGGCUUGUUGACCUUUUUGAAAGUUUUAUAUAGAUGUCACUGGUAAAAAUGAAAAAAUUAUGAUUUGUACCUGUUAUAGAAACAAAAUAAAAUAAAGAUGUUUUUUAUGUA